GAUGAAGAACGCAGCGAAAUGCGAUAAGUAAUGCGAAUUGCAGAAUUCAGUGAAUCAUCGAAUCUUUGAACGCACAUUGCGCCCCUUGGUAUCCCGAGGGGCAUGCCUGUUCGAGCGUCAUUUCACCACUCAAGCCUGGCUUGGUGUUGGGCGACGUCCUCUUUGGGGACGCGCCUCGAAACGCUCGGCGGCGUGGCACCGGCUUUAAGCGUAGCAGAAUCUUUCGCUUUGGAAGUCGGGGCCCCGUCUGCCGGAAGACCUGCUCGCAAGGUUGACCUCGGAUCAGGCAGGGAUACCCGCUGAACUUAAGCAUAUCAAUAAGCGGAGGA
rnacentral:misc_RNA from 1 species